AAAAAAGGCGGCAAGUGAACAGCAGGCAGCCCGACGAUAGAGAACAAGACAAAUGGCCUCAAAAAACCGAGAGGGAACAAACUUGCGCGGCGGGUGGUGCUGUUUUCUUGUCGUCGCCGUUGUCGUGGUCUUUGUCGCUGCCGUCCCGUGGCGAGGUUUGCCUUUUGGGGCGUGCAGGUUGGUUUGCGCGAUGGACGGCCUAUAGGUGUCCGGGUCACACGAGGCGCGCCUUCCUCUACUUUUUCCCCUGCAUUCAGGCAUCGUUGAUGGCGCGGCGAUCGAUCAGAGGCGACGCGGCGCUCAUGUGCCCACCGCCGGCUGCCGUGCGCCACCCGGCGUUCCGCCUACAGAGGCGCGGCCACGCACACCACACGACGCUGGCGAAACCGACAAAAAAGGCGCACACGAGGCCCGCGCCGCCGACCGACAACCACGUCAUGAGAUGCGUGUCGCACGCCCACGGGCUGAGGCGACGGCCAUCUCGCGCCCCACACGGCCUCUCCCCGGCGACAAGGUCGUGACAUCCAAACCCAUGUCCGGGAGGACACCACACGCAGUUGCACCGCGAUGUACAACGACGCGCGCGCGAGAUGGACGUGCAUCCCCCAUUGUCGUCGUCGCUCGUGGGUCCAUCUGGAUCGUCAUCCCCCUGACCGCCGUCGCCUUGCUCUGGGUUGCCGUGGCCCGCUCCAUCGGUGUCGUUCGUGCGGAUGGGCCAUGGAUACGUAUCGUGCCGGAGAUGGUGUCGCACGACGAGGGUGGCCGCACACACCACGGCGGCCGCAGCGAGCGCACCGGCGAGCACGAGCGCUGCGACGAUCAAUCGACGCCACGUGGCGGUGGUCAUGGACGAUCUCUUUGUCCUUUUUUCCCCCUACUCGGCGGGGCAAUUGCUCAAAAGUUGGAUCCGACUGUUGUGAUGCGACGCUCGCAUCGUGCGCGGCAGGAAAACAGCGGCCUGUGUUGGCGCUCUGUGGUUUUUGGCCGCGCACGAUCGUGCUCUCCGUGCGUCCUCGUGUGGCAACCGAUGCACCAACAAAGAGCGAAAAAAAGAGCAGGGAAAAGUGAGCAACGGCAGGCACUUUUGCCCGUGGGCUUGUCAGUGUCUUGCUGCUUCUUGCCCGAUAGGCGACACAAGAAACUCGCGAUAUUCAUUCUUUUUUUUUUGAUUUAUAGCCUAUUAUAUAUGUUGACGCCAACGCGGCAGUAGGAUUGGCGCCAAAAUGCAAGCCCACC
rnacentral:lncRNA from 1 species